rnacentral:rRNA from 1 species
UACGUAGGCAGCAAGCGUUGUUCGGAAUUACUGGGCGUAAAGAGUGUGUAGGCGGUGUUCUAAGUUUGUCGUGAAAUCUCCCGGCUUAACUGGGAGGGUGCGGCGAAAACUGGAAUGCUAGAGGAUGGGAGAGGUAAGCGGAAUUCCUGGUGUAGCGGUGAAAUGCGUAGAUAUCAGGAGGAGCACCUGUGGUGUAGACAGCUUACUGGACCAUUUCUGACGCUGAGACACGAAAGCGUGGGUAGCAAACAGG